CGGGUUCAAGUCCUGGAAACAGCCUCUUGCAGAAAUGUAGGGAAAGGCUGCGUACAAUAGACCCAAAGUGGUCGGACCCUUCCCCAGACCCUGCGCAAGCGGGAGCUACAUGCACUGGGGCUGCCCCUUUUUAACUAGAAUGGGAACCUGGGCGGUUGAGGCUCAAGUUGUCAGUUAAGUCAACCUUUUGCUGCUGGGUUUGGAAGUCGUAGUACAGAUCAUGUAAAUUAACUGCAGCCUGGGCAGGCAAUGCAAAGCAUCCAUUUAUACCCGUCAACUGCAAUCACAGUCCCAUAUAUCUAUGCUUGUAUUUCUUGCAGUUAAUUGACACCGGGUGAAAAUAUCUGAAUCGAUUGGUUUGCUUCUGUUAGCAGCACACGUACCUAGUUCUGACGGUAUGUUGAGCUUAUUCAUAUGCUGUCUAUGUCCACUACUCCAUCCCUUCCAUUUAUAAGUUCCCUCGGCGUGGAUGGACGGUGGAGAAAAUCUAGGGUGCGUAUUCAUCGCGUGGUCGUCCAUGGCCGACGAUCGGCACCCAUUAAUUUCCACGCGGCAUCAUUCAUUGCUUGUUCUUUCCAUGUUCUUCAUGCUUGUGUCUGUCCUCAGAGAUUCCGAUGAAUGAAAGUGUGCUGCGGGCCACAAGCUUCUUGCAAGCUGCUGUUCAUGGACCAUGCUGGUAACUUACUAACUUGCUUCCAUGGUCUGAUCUGUUUUCUUCCUUUGACAGUACAAAGUAGAUGACUCAACUUUAUACUAACUUUAAUACAAAGUUGAGUCAUCUAUUUUGGAACGGAGGGAGUACAACACUGCCAUUAUCCGACGAGUAUUCCCAGUAGCAUUUCCACAAUUUUUUUGUACUUGUGUAUUCUUUUUCUCUUUUCUCAAAAUAAAAAAUUCCUUCAGUCUGCGUGGAUAUCGUGUGACCAAACUGAAGUGCGAAAGUGCAUUCAGUGUUUGUACGUGGGGUCUCUGAACUGCGGAAUCUGAAGCUAGAACCAAAUCCCGAACGAGCUAAGCUUGCCUGAUCAUCCUCAUCCACAUCCGAACGAGACCUAGCUACUGAGUGGGGAUCGAAUCGGAGACCCGAGAGGAACAGUAUUCCCUGCCUGCGCUCACUGAUUGCCGUCGUACGUCGAAUGGAACCGGAGAAAGGAGUGGAUAGAGAUCACGCACCAUCCAUGUCGCCGGAAUCGCAUUCCCCGGCCGUCCUCCCACUCGACCGGCCUGCUCUUUAUAUUGCGCUCCCCCGCGCCACCUUCCUUCCCCGACACAUCACACACACAGCGACAGGGUCCUUCCUCGUGAAGCACUCUGCUCCGAGAGCCUCGACGAGGAGCUCCUCUCACAGUCCUAGGCCGGUCUCUACUGCAUGCAAUGCCAUGCCAUGAUCGGAGACAUCUUCCAGUACAUGGUGGGUGAGGAUGAACUUCCCGACGAGGAGCCGGCGUUUUUGCCGGUUGAUCGACCUCACCAUGCGCCUGCAUGCACGGCUCUUCCUCGACAGGUAGUACCACGAGGACCUGCACCUGCUCGUGCCUUGAUGAGGUUGUUCAACCAGCAAAACGCGGCGGCCCUCGGCGACGGCGGGGCUCGGCGGUGCCUAAGGCGGUCGGCGUGAGGCACUCGUCAGUGACGACCAUGCUGUUCCAAGCAUAUCUCCUGAAGCAUCGGCCAGCCGGCGUCAGCGUGCGGCGGCGACCCCAUACUCCGCGAACCUCCUUGCCGUUUACCUCUAGGGCGUGGACGGAGCGCCUCUCCACCCUUUCGCGUGGGGCGGGUGGGUAGUGGCAGGCGACGGCGAAGAGGCUUCCGGAGAUGAUACUCAUGGCGUUGACUCUUUCUUUCUUGUCUCAUUUUUGGAAAAAAAAUAUAUAUUAAUAUCGCGAAGAUACCAAUUACAAA